rnacentral:tRNA from 1 species
GGGUCUAUAGUUUAAUGGUAAAAUUUCGGUCUCCAAAACCGACGUUCCAGGUUCGAGUCCUGGUGGACCCG